CCUACGGGGGGCAGCAGUGGGGAAUAUUGGGCAAUGGGCGCAAGCCUGACCCAGCAACGCCGCGUGACGGAAGAAGGCUUUCGGGUUUGAAACUUCUUUUCUCAGGGGCGACGAAAGUGACGGUACCUGAGGAAUAAGCCACGGCUAACUACGUGCCAGCCGCCGCGGGACUACGUCGGUGGCACGCGUUAUCCGGAUUUACUGGGUGGAAAGGGCGAGUAGGCGGGACUGCAAGUCAGAUGUGAACAGCACGGGCUCAACCUGUGGCCUGCAUUUGAAACUGUAGUUCUUGAGUACUGGAGAGGCAUACGGAAUUCCUAGUGUAGCGGUGAAAUGCGUAGAUAUUAGGAGGAACACCAGUGGCGAAGGCGGUCUGCUGGACAGCAACUGACGCUGAGGCGCGAAAGCGUGGGGAGCAAACAGGAUUAGAUACCCUAGUAGUC
rnacentral:rRNA from 1 species